rnacentral:lncRNA from 10 species
AUGGUCUCUCAAGAGCCCUGGAAACGUGUGUCGGCGCCGCCGGAUGCGGCGACUUCUCAGUGGCUGUGGCUGGCGUUGGUCCGAAGCGUGGUGUUCUUCCCUGGUGUCUUUCUGCUUAUCUCUUUCCUCCCUGGGCCCUCCGGCGCGAGGGACCGUCAUCACCUCCCCGAGAGAGGUUGUCCGCGCUGCCAGGCGCUGGGCAGCAGGCUCUCCGGGUGGCCGGGCGGGCGGCGCGGAGACGUCGGCGGGCCUGAUGUCUGCCUUGAGCGCCCGCGGUCCUAGCCUGCCUGUACGCGCAGGUCACUGUAGAAUGGCACCAUUGUUGUGCGGAUGCUGAUGCCCAGCGUUGAGCCUGUCGUCUCCUAUAUUAGGGGAAGUUCUCCUGGCCCUUCCCAACUACCUCCCCUGUGCAAGUUUAUUACAACUGAACGGCCUCAAGGAUGAAGUCUGGCUCUGUUGCCCAAGCUGGAGUGUGUUGGCACCAUCUUGGUUCACUGCAACUUCCACCUCCCAGGCUCCAGUGAUUCUCCUGCCUCAGCCUCAAGGGUAGCUGAGAUUACAGGCUGGAGUGCAGUGGCAUGAUCUCACCUCACUGAGAACCUCCACCUCCAGGGUUCAAGUGAUUCUGCUACCUCAACCUCCCAAAUAGCUGGGACUACAGGGUCUCAUUCUGUCACCCAGGUUGGAGUGCAGUGGCAACAUCAUAGCUCACUGCAGCCUUGAACCCCUGGGCUCAAGUGAUCCUCCUGCUUCAGCCUCCUGAGUAGCUGGGGCUACAGGCACUUUCCCUACAUUUUCAAAGGCCUGCAUCAUCACAUCUGCCACAGCAUUCUCUA